rnacentral:SRP_RNA from 1 species
GCCGGGCAUGGUGGCACAUGCCUGUAGUCCUAGUUACUCAGGAGGCUGAGGCAGGAGGAUCACUUGAGCCCAGGAGAUCAAGGCUACAGUGAGCCAUGAUUGCACCACUGCACUCCAGCCUGGGUGACAGAGUGAGAUCCUGUCUCAA